rnacentral:misc_RNA from 1 species
GAUGAAGAACGCAGCGAAAUGCGAUACUUGGUGUGAAUUGCAGAAUCCCGUGAACCAUCGAGUCUUUGAACGCAAGUUGCGCCCGAAGCCAUUAGGCCGAGGGCACGCCUGCCUGGGCGUCACACGUCGUUGCCCCCCCAUCUACUCCUUCGGGAUUGCGGGGGGCGGAUGAUGGCCUCUCGUGCGCCUCGUCGCGCGGUUGGCCUAAAUGCCAAGUCCUCGGCGAUGCACGCCACGACAAUCGGUGGUUGCGAAACCUCGGUUGCCUGUCGUGUGCGGUCGUCGCGCAUCGAGGGCUCGAAAAAAUUGCCGGGCUUCGGCUCGACUUUCAACGCGACCCCAGGUCAGGCGGGGUUACCCGCUGAAUUUAAGCAUAUCAAUAAGCGGAGGA